GAUGAACGCUAGCGGCAGGCCUAAUACAUGCAAGUCGAACGAUACCAGAGAGCUUGCUUUCUGGGAAAGUGGCGCACGGGUGCGUAACGCGUAUGCAACCUACCUUAAUCAGGAGGAUAGCCUCUCGAAAGAGAGAUUAACACCGCAUAACAUCAUUUUACGGCAUCGUAGAAUGAUCAAAUAUUUAUAGGAUUAAGAUGGGCAUGCGUGACAUUAGCUAGUUGGUGAGGUAACGGCUCACCAAGGCUACGAUGUCUAGGGGAUCUGAGAGGAUGACCCCCCACACGAGUACUGAGACACGGACCAGACUCCUACGGGAGGCAGCGGUAAGGAAUAUUGGUCAAUGGAGGCAACUCUGAACCAGCCAUGCCGCGUGCAGGAAGACGGCCCUAUGGGUUGUAAACUGCUUUUAUACGGGAAUAAACCUCUCUACGUGUAGGGAGUUGAAUGUACUGUAAGAAUAGGGAUCGGCUAACUCCGUGCCAGCCGCCGCCGUAA
rnacentral:rRNA from 1 species